AGAAUGAAAUACUCACACAGCAAUAAUGACUAUGAAUUACAUUUAUUAGAUUUUUAGUAUGCAAACAGCAUGGCAAAAGACAAGAUAGGAUUAUAUUACAUUCUUAAGAAAAAUGACAGUUAAAUAGGAGUCUUUAUUAAAAUAAAGAUAUAAAAACAGGGAACAGAAGAAGAGGGACAUGCUUCCAAUUAUGUGAAGGCAUUAGCUAAAAUUGCUAACUUCAAUAUUAGUAAAAUCUUCCCACGCUUUAUUGGUAACUUCUUUCUUAAAAAUAAUGAAAGAAGUAGAGAGAGAACCAGUGAGAAUUUAUAAAUAGAAAUGCAUUCAAAG
rnacentral:misc_RNA from 1 species